rnacentral:lncRNA from 1 species
GAAAGGAGGCACUGGGAAUGCUGAGGGGCUCUGGCAAAUGGUGAUUAUCUAUCCAGAGCCCUUUCUGAAGCAUUGCUCUGCAGACCCGCCAGCCAGGGUUUUCAUUAAGUAGCAUUAAGUCAUAACCUUAAGUAAUAAAGCAAGCAUGCAUAGAAGGGCAAAGCCAGUCACUUCUCAGACCCCGAACCCCUCAGUGAAGGUUGGUGCAUGCAACGGGCUGGCCCUUUGGUGGAGACUGAAGAAAGAGUUUAUUGCAGAAACCAGUUACUCAAAGAGCUAUGCUGUUCUUAUGCCCUGUGAUGGAUCUACUGGGGAUAGAGAUAAGAGCCUGUCUGCCUGCCUCAGCCUGUGCACCUGAUCGUUCUUUUCCUGAAGCAACUUGUCAUGCCUUCACAGUGCACACCUGACCAGUUCCAAACCAAAAAGGGAUGUGCCUGGACGUGUGUGGAUAGAUGGCUGAGGGAGACAUUAUUGUUGUUGUUGAGCCUCCAUCAUCUCUCACCUGGACUGGUGCAGUCUUCUCCAAGGUAAAGAUGGCUAAUGGUCUCCCGCAUUCAUCCCCCUUUUUCCUUAGGAACAGAACUCCCGAUUAUUUUGAAGUGGGAGGGCACAUGGUAGCUCAGAAUACAGACCUGCAUUUGCCAGCCUCCCCUGGAGCUCUGGCCAAUAGGAAAUAAACAGAAGUGUCCUAUACGACUUCUAGGAAAUACACUUAAAAGGACAGAAUGGGUUCUUCUUUGACCUUUCCUUACAGCAGCUUGCUGGAAUGCAGGCGUGCUGGCUGGGACUGAACCACCCUCUGGGACUGUGAGGCAGCAAUGUUGGAUGGCGGGGAAGCAGGCUGGAAGAAAAUUUAAGGUCUCCAUUACCAGCCUCAAUCGGCCUAUCUCUAUACUUGGUUUACAUUAGAGAGAGAAGCAACUGUGUUACUGAAGUCAUUGUUAUUUGGGAAUUUUGGCCCCAUGCAGCUGAUCCUAAUUAGCUACAUCUCUGAUAUAGUUUCCUGCCCCUGCCCUUACCCAACCCCCUCAUUUUUUAUUUCCAACAUAGCAACCACAGUGGUUCUUUAGAAACUUGUCAGUCCCCCCCAGCUCAAACCCUCCUUUGGCUUCCCGCUCACUCUGACUAUAAGCCAAAAUCGAAUCAAAGCCAAGUCCCUGCAUGGCAUGCACCUUCCAUCUCCCCACCUCAUCUUCUCCCCCUUGUACCCUUGUUCACACCAAUUCAGCUCCAGUGCCCUGUUUGCUGUUCUCAGAGCAAGCUGUGUUUGCGCCUUUCCCAGGGCUGAGGGUUAGAGGUUAGCUGUUCUUGCAGUGGACGCUGACAGGGCUGGCUUUCUCUUUUCAUCCUAGUUUCUGCUCAAAUGUCACCUCAUCUGAGAGACCUUCCCUGACCCUCCUACCUAAAACAGCUCACACCUUCCCCAUCCCUCUCUAGCUGAGUGCCUUUUUUCUCUACACGUGAUAAGGACAGGAGACAGGGAAAUACUGAGAAGUGGGCGGUUCCCCAGCAAAGAUCCCACCCUCAAGCCUGGAAACCCGUGGCCCUAAAUGGGAACAGCCCUUCCUGUUUUCAAGCCCAAAAGUUGCCUUUUGGCCUGCUGUGCCCCCCUAUCCUGUACUUGUACAAACCCCAGACCCUAGGCUUCAGAAGCAGACGAGGGAACGAGCAGAAGAACAGAAGAACAGCAGAAUGGCAUGGCAGAGAGAAGAAAGGGACCAUCUGAACGCCAAGAGAAAUUCAGCUGGGGGAGGUCAGAGAGGAGAUAGACUGCAGGACAGCCAAGCUCCAGGGGAAGAUCAUCUUCCCACUCCAUCCCCUUUCCAGCUCCCCAUCCAUCCCGCUGAGAGCCAC